GAAAAAGACAUUUAAAGACGAACAAAGCCCGAGGGAACUCUAAAAGAGUCCAGCCUUAAACAGGACGGGAAGCGCUGAGGGGACCGCGGCCCUCACGGACCCCGCGAGCAGCAGCGAGAGGCACGGCGAGUGAUAUCUCCAGUACUGAGCCUAGAUAAAAUCAGCUUUUCAACGCUGCAAGACUCUACAAACUGUUCCAGUUGAUAGAGCUUGCGGACAAAUCAACCUUACCAUCACCAAUUGUGUGCCAAAUCAGGAAAAAAAAAAAAAAAAAGGGG